AGACGCGCGCUGCAGGAGCGCGGAACAUGGCGCGGCACGGGCCACCGUGGAGUCGGUUGGACGCGCAGCAGGAGCGCGACGUGCGGGAGCUCGUCCGGGGUGUCGCCGGCCUCCAGGACGAGGCAGACCCCAACUUCCAGCUCGCCCUAAACUUCGCCUGGUCCAACUUCAGAUUUCAUCGUUUCUUGGAUGUCAACAGCCACAAAAUAGAAAAAACAAUCGAGGGAAUUUAUGAAAAAUUUGUCAUUCAUUCUGAUCUAAGCAAAGCUGCUAGUUGGAAGAGAUUAACGGAGGAAUUUCUAAAUGCACCACUUCCCAGUAUAAAGGAAAUAAAGACAGAUGCACAUUAUUCCAUACUGUCACUUCUUCUGUGUCUGUCAGACUCUCCUUCAAACAGCAGUUAUGUGGAGACACCAAGAAAUAAAGAAGUGGAAAAGAAAGAUGAUUUCGACUGGGGAAAAUACUUGAUGGAAGAUGAAGAAAUGGACAUUGGUCCGUACAUGGACACACCAAAUUGGUCUGAAGAAAGUGAAGAGGAAAAUGAUCAACAGCCCUUAAGCAGAGAGGACUCUGGAAUUCAGGUAGACAGGACACCGUUAGAAGAACAAGAUCAAAACAGAAAACUGGAUCCUUGUAUCAGUUGGAAAGAUGAGCCAGAUGACCGAAGCUGGCUGGAACAUCAUGUGGUCCAUCAGUACUGGACAGCCAGGCCCUCCCAUUUUCCUCAUAGUUUACAUUUGCACUCUAAUUUAGCUGCUGUCUGGGACCAACACUUGUACAGCAGUGAUCCAUUGUAUGUUCCAGAUGACAGGGUUUUGGUUACUGAGACUCAGGUUAUUCGGGAAACCCUAUGGUUACUUUCAGGAGUGAAAAAGCUCUUUAUAUUUCAGUUGAUAGAUGGGAAGGUAACUGUGAGAAACAAUAUUAUAGUAACUCAUUUAACACAUAGCUGUUUACGAUCUGUGCUGGAACAAAUAGCAGCAUAUGGCCAGGUUGUGUUUCGACUCCAGGAGUUCAUUGAUGAAGUCAUGGGACACAGUUCUGAGAGCAUGCUGCCUGGAAGUGGGUCUGUUCCUAAGAAGUCAACUGAAGCUCCCUUUAGAACCUACCAGGCUUUCAUGUGGGCCCUGUACAAAUAUUUCAUUAGUUUCAAAGAGGAACUUGCAGAAAUUGAGAAGUGCAUCAUCAAUAAUGAUACUACAAUAACUCUUGCAAUAGUGGUGGACAAGUUGGCACCUCGAUUGUCUCAGCUCAAGGUUCUGCACAAAGUGUUUAGUACUGGAGUAGCAGAAGUUCCACCUGAUACUCGAAAUGUCGUCCGGGCCUCUCACCUGCUUAACACCCUGUACAAGGCCAUUCUUGAAUAUGACAAUGUUGGAGAAGCCUCUGAGCAAACCGUCUCCCUCCUUUUCUCUCUCUGGGUGGAAACGGUGCGGCCUUACCUGCAGACGGUGGACGAGUGGAUCGUGCACGGGCACCUGUGGGAUGGCGCCAGGGAGUUCAUCAUCCAGAGAAACAAAAAUGUUCCAGUUAAUCACAGAGACUUCUGGUAUGCAACUUACACGUUAUAUAGCGUAUCAGAAAAGACAGAAAAUGAAGAAAAAAUGAGUGAUAACGCUAGUGCGAGUUCCGGCAGUGACCAGGGGCCCUCCAGCAGGCAGCACACCAUGGUGUCCUUCCUCAAACCUGUCCUGAAGCAGAUCAUAAUGGCUGGCAAGUCGAUGCAGCUGCUGAAGAACCUGCAGUGUGCGGAGAGCACCACCUGCCAGGCAGGAGCCAGAGAUGCAGAAAGAAAAAGUUUAUACACUCUCUUUCUGGAAUCUGUACAGUCCCGUCUUCGACAUGGAGAAGAUUCCACUCCACAGGUUCUUACUGAGCAACAGGCAACCAAGGAGAACCUGAUGAAGAUGCAGUCCAUUGCUGAAAGCCAUCUUGAACUGGAUGAUGUUCAUGAUCCACUGCUUGCCAUUAACUUUGCAAGGAUGUAUUUGGAGCAGAGUGACUUUCACGAGAAGUUUGCUGGUGGUGAUGUAUGUGUGGAUAGAUCAUCGGAAUCUGUGACAUGCCAGACUUUUGAAUUAACGCUGAGAUCCUGCCUCUAUCCUCAUAUUGACAAGCAGUAUCUAGAUUGCUGUGGAAAUCUCAUGCAAACUCUAAAAAAAGAUUACAGGUUGGUAGAAUACUUGCAAGCUAUGAGGAAUUUUUUCUUAAUGGAAGGAGGAGAUACCAUGUAUGACUUCUACACGUCAAUUUUUGAUAAAAUAAGAGAAAAGGAAACAUGGCAGAAUGUGUCUUUUCUUAAUGUCCAACUCCAAGAAGCAGUAGGACAGCGUUAUCCUGAAGAUAGUUCACGUCUAUCUAUAUCUUUUGAAAAUGUUGACACAGCUAAGAAGAAGCUGCCUGUUCAUAUCUUAGAUGGUCUGACCCUCAGCUACAAGGUCCCAUGGCCCGUGGACAUUGUUAUAAGUUUGGAAUGUCAAAAAAUUUAUAAUCAAGUGUUUCUUCUCUUAUUGCAAAUAAAGUGGGCAAAAUAUAGUCUGGAUGUUUUACUUUUUGGUGAACUGGUUAGUACUGCAGAAAAACCACGACUUAAAGAAGGCCUUAUACAUGAACAAGACACAGUUGCUCAGUUCGGACCACAAAAAGAACCAGUAAGACAGCAGAUUCAUCGCAUGUUCCUCUUAAGAGUGAAGCUCAUGCAUUUCGUGAACAGCUUGCACAACUACAUCAUGACCAGGAUUCUACACAGUACAGGGCUGGAGUUUCAACAUCAAGUCGAGGAAGCCAAGGAUUUAGAUCAAUUGAUUAAAAUUCACUAUAGGUAUCUGUCAACCAUCCAUGACCGGUGUCUGCUGAGAGAAAAGGUCAGCUUUGUGAAAGAAGCUAUCAUGAAGGUGUUGAACUUGGCUCUCAUGUUUGCAGACGGUUGGCAGGCAGGCCUGGGCACUUGGCGAAUGGAAUCUAUAGAGAAAAUGGAAUCUGAUUUUAAAAACUGCCAUAUGUUUCUUGUAACCAUUUUAAACAAAGCCGUCUGUAGAGGAUCCUUUCCCCAUUACAGAUUCUCGCUCUGUCCCCCAGGCUGGAGUGCAAUGGUGUGAUCUCAGCUCACCUCAACCUCUGCCUCCCAGGUUCAAGUGAUUCUCCUGCCUUAGUCUCCUGAGUGGCUGGGACCACAGACGCACACCAUCAUGCCCAGUUUCCAUAGGGCUGCCUGUUGUCUGCAUCCGACGCUGGAGUCUACUGUCCACAGGAGGUUUGGGAGGGACCUAAACCUGCGUCAGUUCUUGCUGCUUCUGGCCUUGGUGGUGUGGAGGUGCUGCAGAAGCUAGGGCCUCUCAUCAUGAAGAUGAGCCAGAUGCCUCCUUCGGGAGCCACAGGAUCCAGAGAGUCAAUGAAAGUAAAACUUCAGGACUGUCUGGAUUUAUUACGCCAGGGAGGAAGUUGAGCCCUGGAGACUGUCAGGUCGUACGACUGCAAUUCUUCUCAGAUUCACUCUUUUCCUCAUUGUUCUUGUUCUGUAAAUGACUAAGAGAGACCAGAGACCAGACCUCCCCACUUCCAAUCACUGGUUUUGUUGUAGAUGAACUGCCUCCUUUGCUGUCCGGUACCUAAUGUGGACCAGACGGUGCUCAAGACCCUAUCACUAGUACAACCUCAGUGUGGAAUGUUAAAUAUGCCUUGCCUGGAAGAAAAAGACCAACUUGACUAAUCAGAUCAUCAUAACUAUGCAUGAAGUCUUCCACAGAAAGAUGAUGAAAUUUUGUUACACUUCCCUAACCUUUGUCUAAAUAAGCAUUCCCAAACAUCUACACUUUGGAACACUGACUUCUGUUCUUUGAGAUGGGUGCUUCCCAGGUGGCCCAUCCUCAAACUUUUUGCUUGAAUAAACUCUCUAAACUAGA